UACGGGGGGGGCAAGCGUUGUUCGGAAUUACUGGGCGUAAAGGGCGCGUAGGCGGCCUGUUAAGUCGAACGUGAAAUCCCCGGGCUCAACCCGGGAACUGCGUCCGAUACUGGCAGGCUUGAAUCCGGGAGAGGGAUGCGGAAUUCCAGGUGUAGCGGUGAAAUGCGUAGAUAUCUGGAGGAACACCGGUGGCGAAGGCGGCAUCCUGGACCGGUAUUGACGCUGAGGCGCGAAAGCCAGGGGAGCAAACAGG
rnacentral:rRNA from 1 species